rnacentral:rRNA from 1 species
CGGACGGGUGAGUAACGCGUGAGUAACCUGCCUUACACAAGGGGAUAGCCGUUGGGAACGACGAAUAAUACCCUAUGACAUAAACUCUUCGCAUGAGGAGCUUAUCAAAGAUUUAUCGGUGUAAGAUGGACUCGCGUCUGAUUAGCUAGUUGGUGAGGUAACGGCCCACCAAGGCGACGAUCAGUAGCCGGCUUGAGAGAGUGUACGGCCACAUUGGGACUGAGACACGGCCCAGACUCCUACGGGAGGCAGCAGGU